UUGGAGACUGACAGUUUCUCUUUGCCCAUUGCAUGGCAGGGAUUUGUUCAUACAGGGGUUGUGUCCCACCUUACUUUGUCUACACAGGCUGGAUCUUUCUCUGGAGGCAGUGUGGGGUGAGCAACAAUUGUCUGUCUAAGGCAAAAGGAUUUACAGCAUCAUUUGUCAUCAUUUAAAGAUAAAUGAAAAGGACACUUUUGCUGAUGAGUCUACAAAGGUAAGUCCUGUUUCUUCCCCUUACUUUCUCCUUCCAUUACUUUUCUAUGAGGACACAGUAGCAAGAGCCAAGGCAGAAGAUGUGCAAAACAAAAAAGACCUUUUCCAAGGUUCCAAAAGGUCAGUUUCCAAGGCAGAGAUGUGGAUGCUGGGGCUCAUUUCACCCAGCCUGAGCUGCACCACCAGGUCCCGUUUGUCUCAGUGUUUUUGUUGAACCCCUCACUUCACCAGUCCUCAUCCCUGUGUGAGGCCAGGAGGGAGGUAGAUGUGAAUGAGCCCACACUGCAGACAUUCUGGAUCCUGUUCCCUGGUUGUGUACACACACUGGGAUACACGUGUUUCCACAAGUAGCAGCUUUUGGCCAAGAGGAGGAAGUUAAACAAGGAAAGAGUCAGCAAGAGCCUGUUGCUCAAUCAACUGUAUGGGAGAGCCAUGCCCUCCCGUAUGAGAGAGGCUGCACUACCUCAUACAGCACAGAGACCCAGGAGGACUCACCUUUGCCAUGUGCUGGCUUCCUGGAUGAUGGGAGAGGGUUUGGGAUGAGAAAAACAUGAAUAAACCAAGAAAAUUUC